rnacentral:tRNA from 1 species
GGGACGGAUCGGAAGGUCCGAAAAGGACUCAUGAUCCGUCGGCCGUGGGUUCGAGUCCCACCCGCCCCACCA